AUUGAACGCUGGCGGCAUGCCUUACACAUGCAAGUCGAACGGUAACGGGUCCUUCGAGAUGCCGACGAGUGGCGAACGGGUGAGUAAUAUAUCGGAACGUGCCCAGUAGUGGGGGAUAACUGCUCGAAAGAGCAGCUAAUACCGCAUACGACCUGAGGGUGAAAGGGGGGGAUCGCAAGACCUCUCGCUAUUGGAGCGGCCGAUAUCAGAUUAGCUAGUUGGUGGGGUAAAGGCCUACCAAGGCAACGAUCUGUAGUUGGUCUGAGAGGACGACCAGCCACACUAGGACUGAGACACGGCCCAGACUCCUACGGGAGGCAGCAGUGGGGAACUUUGGACAAUGGGCGCAAGCCUGAUCCAGCAAUGCCGCGUGCAGGAAGAAGGCCUUCGGGUUGUAAACUGCUUUUGUCAGGGAAGAAAUCUUCUGGGCUAAUACCCCGGGAGGAUGACGGUACCUGAAGAAUAAGCACCGGCUAACUACGUGCCAGCCGCCGCAGUAA
rnacentral:rRNA from 1 species